rnacentral:rRNA from 1 species
CUACGGGAGGCAGCAGUGAGGAAUAUUGCACAAUGGGGGGAACCCUGAUGCAGCAACGCCGCGUGGAGGAUGACGCAUUUCGGUGUGUAAACUCCUUUUAUAUGUCAAGAAAAUGACGGUAGCAUAUGAAUAAGCACCGGCUAACUCCGUGCCAGCAGCCGCGGUAAUACGGAGGGUGCAAUCGUUACUCGGAAUCACUGGGCGUAAAGGACGCGUAGGCGGGUUGGAAAGUCAGGUGUGAAAUCCUACAGCUUAACUGUAGAACUGCACUUGAAACUUCUAAUCUAGAGUAUGGGAGGGGGGGAUGGAAUUAGUGGUGUAGGGGUAAAAUCCGUAGAUAUCACUAGGAAUACCUAAAGCGAAGGCGAUCUCCUGGAACAUUACUGACGCUAAGGCGUGAAAGCGUGGGGAGCAAACAGGAUUAGAUACCCUAGUAGUC